UGGGGUGUGGCCAAGCUGGUAAGGCAACGGGCUUUGAACCCGUCAUUCCUAGGUUCGAGUCCUAGCACCCCAG
rnacentral:tRNA from 1 species